CACGUAGGGCGCAAGCGUUGUCCGGAAUUAUUGGGCGUAAAGAGCUCGUAGGCGGUCUGUUGCGUCCGCUGUGAAAACCCGGGGCUCAACCCCGGGCCUGCAGUCGAUACGGGCAGGCUGGAGUUCGGUAGGGGAGACUGGAAUUCCUGGUGUAGCGGUGAAAUGCGCAGAUAUCAGGAGGAACACCGGUGGCGAAGGCGGGUCUCUGGGCCGAUACUGACGCUGAGGAGCGAAAGCGUGGGGAGCGAACAGG
rnacentral:rRNA from 1 species